rnacentral:lncRNA from 1 species
CUGUAAUUUGCCUCAUUAAGACAUUUCUAGCAAGGUUUCUGUAAUUUAAUAAAUUGAACAUAGUACAGACAGUUUGCUGGCGAUUACUGGACAUUUUUCACAGCUCAGGGCAUUUAUAAUCAUGCCCUCCCCCUAUAGUGGCCAUGAGCUCAUCUAGGUUCUCCUCCAAAGUGAAGGGGAAUGGAAGAGGCUGGAGGAACAAGCUGUGGUGAAUGUGAGGAUGCAAUUCCCUCUCUGUACUGAGAGAGUUAGAGGUGUGUGUGUGUUGGCACCCCUGCGCCUGACCCCAAGGCGUGCUUGUGUUUAAAAUCAUCCACAAUCCCUCCACCCCGCGCUGUGCCUGCAUGGAGCUGCCCGUGAUUGGUAUUUGUUUAAGGGAACUCAGCCUUUCCUUUCCCCUGACCUGUCUGGCUCAUCCAAGAGCACAGAGACGAGGAAGGGAGUGAGUGGUGUGUGUGAUGGGGAGGAGAAAGGGGAGGCAGGAAUAGAUUUUCGUCUUGUUUGAUCAAGCCUGAGCAGAACUGACAUCUCAUCAAAACCGCAUGUGCAGUUCCAUGCCAAGUUCAUCAGAAGGUGCCGCAGAAAGCUCCCGUUCUUUCCAGCAUGCAAAUGAAAUUAGAACCCCCUGCCAACUCUGCCAUCCUGACCUUUAUCCUGCAGGAACGGUGACACCGGAUUACCGGUGUAAGGGUUUUAUUAUUUGCACUGCUGUCUGAAUGAUUGGCUAAUUAACGGAGAUAAGGCUGUAAAAAUAAUACCAGCCUCCGUCUCUUAAUUCUCUUUUCUUUUAUUAUUAUGCAAAGACAGACUUUUCCCAUCCAGUGCCAGUACAAACACCCGCGGUGCACACCGACGUGCCGAUCGCUGAACAGUCCCGCAUCGGCCCAGAUUCCGGGCUGGAAAGAGAGCUGGGCACAUUGGGCGAUCCGCAGUGCCCUGGUGAUCUCACAUUUCCUGCUUGCUCCGAGACAGCGCUGCUGCGUCCGGUGUUCCUCUCUGACCUCCUAUGAGGUCGCGAGCGGAGGGCCUGCGGCGCGAAGAGGACAGCGGGAGGCGUCUCGCGGCCCGGCCUGGCCUCGGGGAGCUGCAGCUGGCGCUCCGCGGAUUCCUGUGCGAAAGGCGAGGGUGGCCAGGCGUCAGUGGAGAGGUGUCAGCCGAAGCCCAGGCAGGCAGCGGGAGUCCCGGUGGUGA